rnacentral:ribozyme from 1 species
GCUGCUCAAAAAUGCACACCGCUACGAGGUGAGCAGCAGGCAACACAGUAGGGGUUGUGGCUAAGAGGCAAAU